AAUGAACGCUGGCGGCAGGCCUAACACAUGCAAGUCGAGCGAAUGAAGGGGGCUUGCUCCUGGAUGCAGCGGCGGACGGGGGAGUAAUGCCUAGGAGUCUGCCUUGUAUCGCGGGAUAACGUCCGGAUACGGGCUAUAAUAUCGCAUACGACGUGAGGUAGAAAGUGGAGGAUCUUCGGUCGUAUCGCUAUCAGAUGAGCCUAGGUCGCAUCAGCUAGGUGGUGGCGUAACGGCCUACCAAGGCGACGAUCCGUAACUGGUCUGAGAGGACGAUCAGUCACACUGGAACUGAGAAUCGGCCGAGACUCUUACGGGGGGCAACAGUCGGGAAUCUUGGAGGAUGGGCGAAAGCCGGAUACAGCCAUGCCGCCGGUAUGCAGAAGGUCUUCGGAUUGUAAAGCAAUUAAGGUUGGGGGGUAGUACAGUAAGUUAAUACGUUGCUAUUUUGACGUUACCAACAGAAUAAGCUCCGGCUAACUUCGUG
rnacentral:rRNA from 1 species